UCGAGUUUUUCAUUCUCGAUUUUUCCAUCUAAUUAUGACGAGUUUAACAACUAAGGGGGGAGACUGGAUACCACGUUACGGUUGUGACAGUUCUCAUAUAAGCGAAAAUAUAUACAGGGAAUAGCGGGGAUGUGCAAGGGGACAAAGGAGCUGCUUUCAUGUCCGAAUUUCUCUGAAAGUACUCACAUUGGUUUUUGAUGGCGAAAAUAUGAUGUAGAGCAGAAGUUAAUUAACCGAAAGAGGGUGCCUGGAGACGGUGAAGAGCAUUGAGUGCUUCCAAUUUGAAAAUUAACA